rnacentral:rRNA from 1 species
AGAUAGAAACCGACCUGGCUCACGCCGGUUUAAACUCMGAUCAUGUAAAAUUUUAAAGGUCGAACAGACCUAACUAAUUAGCUUCUGCGCCAACAGCAAAUUUUAAUCCAACAUYGAGGUCGCAACCCCUUCUUUCGAUAAGAACUCUAAAAAGGAUUACGCUGUUAUCCCUGAGGUAAUUUUAUCUUAUAAUCUUAAUACAAGGAUCAUAAACUCACAAAUAAGUGUAAACAUAAAGAAAAGUUUGUCCAAUUUUCCCGUCACCCCAACAAAAUACUACACUAAUCUAAAAAUCUACAAACCCUUUAAACYUAAAAACCAGCGCAAUAUAAAACUCUACAGGGUCUUCUCGUCUUCCAUAAAAAUUUAAGCUUUCUCACUUAAAAAUAAAAUUCCAAUUUAAUUUUACAGAGACAGUAAUUUCCUCAUCAAACCCUUCAUGCCAGCUUUCAAUUAAAAAACUAAUGAUUAUGCUACCUUUGCACGGUCAAUAUACCGCGGCCAUUCAAACGCUCAUCGGGCAGGUCAGACCUAAAAUUAUUAUCAUGAGGCC